AUGAACGCUGGCGGCGUGCCUAAUACAUGCAAGUCGCGCGAACAGACGAGGAGCUUGCUCCUCUGACGUUAGCGGCGGACAGGUGAGUAACACGUGGAUAACCUACCUAUAAGACUGGGAUAACUUCGGGAAACCGGAGCUAAUACCGGAUAAUAUAUUGAACCGCAUGGUUCAAUAGUGAAAGACGGUUUUGCUGUCACUUAUAGAUGGAUCCGCGCCGCAUUAGCUAGUUGGUAAGGUAACGGCUUACCAAGGCAACGAUGCGUAGCCGACCUGAGAGGGUGAUCGGCCACACUGGAACUGAGACACGGUCCAGACUCCUACGGGAGGCAGCAGUAGGGAAUCUUCCGCAAUGGGCGAAAGCCUGACGGAGCAACGCCGCGUGAGUGAUGAAGGUCUUCGGAUCGUAAAACUCUGUUAUUAGGGAAGAACAAAUGUGUAAGUAACUAUGCACGUCUUGACGGUACCUAAUCAGAAAGCCACGGCUAACUACGUG
rnacentral:rRNA from 1 species